rnacentral:rRNA from 1 species
GACGAACGCUGGCGGCGCGCCUAACACAUGCAAGUCGAACGGAGUUAUUUUCUUUACUCCGAGUUCUUUGCGAGAUUCCGGAAAGCGGCAAUUCAUUUUGCGAAGCAAAAUGAAUUUAGGCUCAUUUAGUAAGACUAACACGGGAUGCAGAGAAUUGGGAGUAAAGAAAAUAACUUAGUGGCGAACGGGUGAGUAACGCGUGAGUAACCUGCCCUGGAGUGGGGGACAACAGUUGGAAACGACUGCUAAUACCGCAUAAGCCCACGGAACCGCAUGGUUCUGAGGAAAAGGAUUUAUUCGCUUCAGGAUGGACUCGCGUCCAAUUAGCUAGUUGGUGAGGUAACGGCCCACCAAGGCGACGAUGGUAGCCGGACUGA